rnacentral:rRNA from 1 species
UACGUAGGGUGCAAGCGUUAAUCGGAAUUACUGGGCGUAAAGCGCGCGUAGGUGGUUUGUUAAGUUGGAUGUGAAAUCCCCGGGCUCAACCUGGGAACUGCAUUCAAAACUGACAAGCUAGAGUAUGGUAGAGGGUGGUGGAAUUUCCUGUGUAGCGGUGAAAUGCGUAGAUAUCGGAAGGAACAUCAGUGGCGAAAGCGGCUUCCUGGACCAGCACCGACGUUCAGGCACGAAAGCGUGGGGAGCAAACAGG